rnacentral:rRNA from 1 species
CCUACGGGAGGCAGCAGUGAGGAAUAUUGGUCAAUGGACGGAAGGCUGAACCAGCCAAGCAGCGUGAAGGAUGAAUGUCCUAUGGAUUGUAAACUUCUUUUAUAUGGGAAUAAAAUGUUCCACGUGUGCGUUUUUGUGUGUACUAUAUGAAUAAGCAUCGGCUAACUCCGUGCCAGCAGCCGCGUUAAUACGGAGGAUCCGAGCGUUAUCCGGAUUUAUUGGGUUUAAAGGGAGCGUAGGUGGAUUCUUAAGUCAGUUGUGAAAGUGUGCGGGUCAACCGGAAAAUUGCAGUUGAAACUGGCAGUCUUGAGUAGAGUAGAGGUGGGCGGAAUUCGUGGUGUAGCGGUGAAAUGCUUAGAUAUCACGAAGAACUCCGAUUGCGAAGGCAGCUCACUGGACUGCAACUGACACUGAGGCUCGAAAGUGUGGGUAUCAAACAGGAUUAGAUACCCGGGUAGUC